rnacentral:misc_RNA from 1 species
UCCGUUUGUUUACCCUACAGUCUGGCCAUUAAAAUAAGGUUGAGGACCGAGGAACCUUGUAGCAUGGCGUUGUCGUGAUGAUGUUACUACCCGUGUCUCUAUUGUCUCUAUUGCUCCUAAGACCUGCGCCAUCUCUCGGUCGUACACUGACGUUUAAAGAUGACGGUUGCAAGGGAACAUACAAACCUUCACCACAAGAGAGUUUUAUGGUCAAUCACACGGGUGCCCCUCUGCACACCUUUUGUCGGGAUAUGUCAUUCAGUGGCUGGGAUUAUGAUCACCCCGUCGAAGUAUGUGUAAAAGUAACGGACUAUAAAAUUGACUGCUCUCAGAAGCUUGAAUACAGAAAGGGCACUAACUGGGGCAAACCAACUAAGAGUUGUGACUGCAAUGACGAUGUAGGGACUAUUCCAAUAUUUUGCACGUUUGAGCGUUUAUAUAUUCGGAUACUGGGUGACAAACAGAGCGAGAAUACACGAGUACUUUACACGGUGUACAGCGGGAAAGAAAAGCCACAGAACAGCGAUCCUAGUACAGCAGGCAGCGGCCACAACACAUAUAUACAAGUUAUCGUUGUGAACAAAUCAAAGUGUUGUGUUCAAUGUUUUACAUUAAUAUAGGGGUAAGUGGCUUAUAAUGGAUGCCUUUUAAUAUAUGCUGCUUCUUUCUUGUUUCAUUUUUGUUCAGAAUCCUCCUUAAUUGUCGUCUUUCUUGGUACCACACUACUGACAGCAUUGUUUUUUACUUCCUGUAUAUUCGGGUAUUACAUGCGCCAUGGGAGAGCACCACAGCAUCGGAACCAUGAAGAAGUGGCUACGUAUAACCCCAGCCAACAACCACAGAUCAAUAUUAAUCAUUGCUACCACCCAGUUCCAAAUCAGGACGUGUCUCCAAAUCAGAACCCUGGCCACGGACAGCCCUCCACUUCCUCUCUACAAGGGUACAGCGUGCCAGCACAGGGGCCUUAACAGUGGAGCAGUCAGUUUCCAAAUUACCCCGCCCCUAACGCACCUGUUGCGUACUCGGGGUCGGACAACAAACACCAACAAGCGUCCAUUUGACAUCGAGUGAUUCAUCAUCGUACGACGAGGCCCCAAAGGAAAAGUGUAGCAUAGACACAGACCUUUAGUUCUGCUUAGCAAUAUCAGAGUGAUAAUAUCACAAAACAGAAGUGCCGAGGGGCAUUGUGCACAAAAUAUGCAACGACAAGCUGCAAGUGGAUCUUGAUGACUUUGUAGCUGCUUUUCCACUGUUGAUCGUUAAAAAGUACAGUAAAGUACAUUUGUGCCAUAAAAGUUAUGAAAGUAUUUGUAUUGUAAACGACUUCAAAUUAUGUGUAAACGGUUAUUUGCUGUAACUCGUUUUUCAGAUAGUAUGGGAACUUUGUACUGUGUACUCUGUGAUAUUUUU